rnacentral:rRNA from 1 species
UGCAGUCGAGCGGUAGAGAGAAGCUUGCUUCUCUUGAGAGCGGCGGACGGGUGAGUAAUGCCUAGGAAUCUGCCUGGUAGUGGGGGAUAACGUUCGGAAACGGACGCUAAUACCGCAUACGUCCUACGGGAGAAAGCAGGGGACCUUCGGGCCUUGCGCUAUCAGAUGAGCCUAGGUCGGAUUAGCUAGUUGGUGGGGUAAUGGCUCACCAAGGCGACGAUCCGUAACUGGUCUGAGAGGAUGAUCAGUCACACUGGAACUGAGACACGGUCCAGACUCCUACGGGAGGCAGCAGUGGGGAAUAUUGGACAAUGGGCGAAAGCCUGAUCCAGCCAUGCCGCGUGUGUGAAGAAGGUCUUCGGAUUGUAAAGCACUUUAAGUUGGGAGGAAGGGUUGUAGAUUAAUACUCUGCAAUUUUGACGUUACCGACAGAAUAAGCACCGGCUAACUCUGUGCCAGCAGCCGCGGUAAUACAGAGGGUGCAAGCGUUAAUCGGAAUUACUGGGCGUAAAGCGCGCGUAGGUGGUUUGUUAAGUUGGAUGUGAAAUCCCCGGGCUCAACCUGGGAACUGCAUUCAAAACUGACUGACUAGAGUAUGGUAGAGGGUGGUGGAAUUUCCUGUGUAGCGGUGAAAUGCGUAGAUAUAGGAAGGAACACCAGUGGCGAAGGCGACCACCUGGACUAAUACUGACACUGAGGUGCGAAAGCGUGGGGAGCAAACAGGAUUAGAUACCCUGGUAGUCCACGCCGUAAACGAUGUCAACUAGCCGUUGGAAGCCUUGAGCUUUUAGUGGCGCAGCUAACGCAUUAAGUUGACCGCCUGGGGAGUACG